rnacentral:lncRNA from 1 species
CUUACUCUGCCAUUUUCCAGCUGUGUGGCUUUGGGCAAGUUAUUUAACCUCUCUGUGCCUCAACUUCUUCAUGUAAACUGGCAGUAAUAAUAAUACGAAUGCCACAGAGCUGUGGAUGAAAUGAGCCCAUUCCGGUCUGGCUUCUUUAACCAGGAAGAUGUGGGCUGAGAGCUGUGGAGUAGAUGUCUUCACCAGAUGAGUACACAGAGAAGUAGAGAAUGUGUAUCUGCAGAGUAGGAUGAAGCAGAGACAAGAUGAAUUUAAGUGAAUAAUGAUGCCAAAGCAUCUCAUGGAAAAAAAAACAUGAAUAAAAAGCAUUGCUCUAAAUGUAACGUUAUCAAAAUCACUGGUUAAAGCAACAUAUAGCACUCUUGUUUUUGAUACCAGUCUUGUGAAUAAGGUAUUCAGGAAGCACAGCUGUCUUUUGUUCCUGAAGCCGUAUCAGGAUUCAGCAGGAAAGAGCACCAAGAUCACUUGGCAAUGUUUAUCCUGAUCAAGCACGGGCACUGAUGGCAGAUGCAGGACAAAGGACAGAACUCUAAGUCAUCCCUGUGCUCACCUGAGACAAAUGCAUGUCUGAUUGCUUCCACUGAUGUAAAAAUGCAGAUUUGCUGAGUUAGACGAAGACGAUGGCAGAGAGCAGUCUUCAUCCUGAGCCCCAUUCCUAGGUAAGUAGCUGAAUUGGGGUUUUGUUUUGGAAAUUCUCCUUAAUGGCUAAAGUUAAGAUUAACAACCAGCUGGUCUUAAUUUCUUCUUACCAUUAGAGCACUCAGUAAUCUAAUAUAAAUUAUAAAUCUAAUAUAUUAGAUUUAUUUUGGGUUUGACCAACUCUAUCUGACUUGAUCAAAUCCAAAGGAAAGUUCCAAAUUAUGGGGAAUAAGGCCUCUGAAUUGGCUACAUUCCUGCAGCUGAAAAUAAGGAAAGAAAAAAGGGAAAAAGUAAAAGCAGCCAGGCCGGGCAUGGUGGCUCAAACCUGUAA